GCGUCAGUCGCAAGAUGAAGCGUUGAAUUGAAGCCCGAGUAAACGGCGGCCGUAACUAUAACGGUCCUAAGGUAGCGAAAUUCCUUGUCGGUUAAAUACCGACCUGCAUGAAUGGCGUAACGAGAUGGGAGCUGUCUCAACCAGAGAUUCAGUGAAAUUGUAGUGGAGGUGAAAAUUCCUCCUACCCGCGGC
rnacentral:rRNA from 1 species